rnacentral:lncRNA from 1 species
UCUCAAUCUAGAGACAGGGUCGGAAAGCUCACCCCAAAAAGCAGACGCUUCCACAGGAGAGGAGAGGACAGAGGAUUAAGAGAUCUGACCCAACAAGCAAUCUGUGAACUUCAGCUGGACGACAUCACCAAAAGAACACACGAUUCCUUUUGCUUAGGUAGAAACUGCGUUUCAAAGCAACAGAAAGCAGCAAUUCUUAACACCGGUUGAGCACAGGCAUCACUUUCUGAUAGAGUCAAAUCAGAGCACCUACAGCACCACAGUUCUGUUCAAGGGAAGUCUAGAAACCAAAGCAAUUUCCAUCUUCAGGGCGCUUCAGCGCUUUGGCAUUCCCGCAAGUCUCCGGAGGUGCCCUAGUAACACAGUGCGUGUGAUGGAAACUGAGGCACAGGAAGCAGGAGAGGCGGGUUCGCAUGGAGGCUGUGGCUGCAGAAGCAGAGAAGCCAGGUCCUUUAAAUGUACCACUGAGCCAGCAAGAAGGUGAAGGAAAAGCCAAAAUCAAAAAGCCAGGAAUUCCUGAAGGCUUGACCCUUCCCAGACCCUGCUCCUGUGACCCAGCCAAUUUUACAGAAUCAGCAUUGCCCAAGUUCAUCGAGCCUUGGCACAUCCAAGUGGUCUUUCAUGACUUCUUCAUUAUAGGAAGAGAUGCAAGAGAGAAGUCUGCUGCGGAAGGCCUGCAUGCAACCUGGUGUCCUUAUGAAAAGAGGAAGCUUAAACCCACAGAGAAACACCAGGGGCAUGUGUACACUGAGGAAAGACCAUGCAAGGAGGCAGCAAGGUGUCUGCUAUCUGUAAGCCAAGGAGAGACCCCUCAACAGAAACCAGUCCUGCCGCCAUUUUGAUAUUGGACUUCCAUUCUCCAGAACUUCGAGAAAAUAGAUUUCUGUUGUCAGCCACUCAGACUGUGGUAGUUUGUUACACAGUCAUGGUUCAAACCAUGCAAACUAAUACACUAUAGUAAGGCAAAACAAUCACUUGGAUGAUAGGAAAUUAAGAGGACUUUAGGAAUAUCGAAGGUAACAAAUGGAAUAUACACAUGUACACACACACAUACACGCACGCACAUAUAUACCCAUACAUCCAUGUAUAUAAAGAGAAAAUGAAAUUAAAACAACGUC